rnacentral:lncRNA from 1 species
UGGAUUAUCACUCAAGGAUUAUUGCUUGAAAGUUCAUACAUGGAUGCCAUCUUUGUCGCUUACCAAGUUAUAAAGAAAAUGUGCAUGUAUCAAGGGCAAACCACUAGAUUAAAUUUCAGGAUUAUCACUCUCGGAUGAGCUUGGACACCUUGAGGUUACAAUCAGGAACUCUUAUACUUCUCGAUCAUGCACAUCUUUAAUACGAAGUGACGUUGUUUUACCAACUACAUGUUCAUGUUUCAGAUUAUCAAGAAUGAUGAGCUCCAAGAACUCUCAUGGUAAAUGGAGGGUCUCUGAUGUUGCAAUAAAAAGAAAUGACAGAUGUUUUCUAGGAAGCCAUCUCAACAAGACAAAAUUGUAAAUCCUUAUAUUUUAGAUUUUCUGUCCAUCGUAAAUUCAUAAUGCAAUGUAGCGAUAAUAACAUCCAAAUGUCAUUUCUUUGAGCCCAUGACGGUGAGACCGACACGACCUCAGCUCGGCCAUGGCCGCCUCUCUGAACUGAAUGUUAUACCUCUACUACUUGAGGAGGGUAAUAGCUGUGAGAUGUACCUGACCGUGACAUCACCUAGGCCAUGUCCUCCUCCCUAAAACGAAUAUUAUGUCCGAAAUAUCCAAAAAAUGCUUAUUGAUACUACUGAUAUUGCUUUUCUACAGCUUGAGUAAGGUAAUAAACGGUGAGACGAACGCGAGCCGCAUCAUUGCCUCAGCUAUGUCCGCCUCUCUGAACUGAAUAUCAUGUCUGAAAUAUCCAAAAAGCUUAUUGAGAUAUUGAUAGUGCUUCUCUACUAAUCGAAGAAGGUAAUAGAUUUUCUAUGUGAUUCUUUUUUCCAAUUCAAUAAACUCGAGUUUCUUCUGGAUUAGUUAUUACCAAACCUACAGUUCUUUCUAUACUCAUGUGUUACUUUUUCAGUUGAACACAAUGAACUUUCUAUAGAAUUUCAUGGUUUUUGCAAAGUAGCUAGCUGGGUUGUUUUAUUCCUGCAUAUUCAGGAAUUUUGUUGUGAAGCUAAGGCUGAUGUUAAGACAAAGUCCACUCUGUCUAGAUUGGAUACAAUUGGAGACAUGCAUCACGUAAUAUUCAGGGGUGGUCAAAACCAUGUGAAGUAUUACAGUGUAAGUUUCUCUUCCGUACAUGAGUGUUAAAACUGUCGGUCAAUAUAUCGAUCUACUUUGAAAUUUUCUGGGUUUGCGUUGGGUUGGGUUGGUCUGGUAGUGGGUAGUAAAAUGAUCUGUUUGUUGGGGUCCAUCUUUUUUUCAGGGAUGUUUGUUAGGAUCCAUAGUCGAAGGGUAAAGAGAUGAGAUUCAUUGUCUGAUCCCCACGUCCGCAAUUCUAGCCCAUGGGUGCCGCUGCAUUGGCCUGCCCUGAGUCACCGGUAGCCAGUCAUACAUGCUGCUUCAGUGACUCGUACAUACCCCCUCGGCCUACUCACCGGCGUCGAGCGGCCAAAGCCCUCACUGCUAGCUCAAAUAGCCAUGGUGCCCAUGUACGAUGAUUGGAUCGAUUGGCCUAACCCAAUCCAUGCAUAUAGGAGGAGCGUAUCAUUGGCAUCAAUAUAUUUGGCUUAAAAGUUUGUAGAUGGACAAGCUCACACCAAAGAUGUCAUCUCUAUCGCUUAAUAAUAUAACAAGAUAGUGUGCAUUUAUCAACGCAAAUUAACCACUAGAUUGGAUUUCUGGAUUAUCACUCAAGGAUUAUUGCUUGAAAGUUCAUACAUGGAUGCCAUCUUUGUCGCGUACCAACUUAUAAAGAAAAUGUGCAUGUAUCAAGGGCAAACCGCUAGAUUAAAUUUCAGGAUUAUCACUCUCGGAUGAGCUUGGACACCUUGAGGUUAGAAUCAGGGACUCUUAUACUUCUUGAUCAUGCACAUCUUUAAUACAAAGUGAUGUUGUUUUACCAACUACAUGUUCAUGUUUCAGAUUAUCAAGAAUGGUGAGCUCCAAGAACUCAUGGUAAAUGGAGGGGCUCUGAUGUUGCAAUAAAAAGAAAUGGCAGAUGUUUUUCCAGGAAGUCAUCUCAACAAGACCAAAUGGUAUAAUCCUUAUAUUCUAGAUUUUCUGUCCAUGAUAAUGCAGUGUAGCAAUAAUAACAUACAAAUGUCAUUGCCAUCCAGCAUGUCAAUGCUCUCUUGAGUGGGCUUCAUUAGAUGGAGCAAUGGCUUCGUUGAGAACCAGGGAGUGUCAAGGUAUGUACUUAAUCGAGCUGUAGUUCUUGCAUUUAAUAACAGAUAGGCAGAGUCAAAGAAUGGCCAGAGAGCAUCAUGAAGUAAUGAUGGAAUUAUAUCCUGUUCUAGCUUCUGAAUUCUAAACCCAACAAUAUCCAAACCUUCUUAGAGCGUUAGUCACACUUGUGGCAGCAGAAGAGAUCUUGAUAAGAUGCUGCUGCUGCUUAGUGUUGCUUGCUGCAUAAAUUCGAUCUGGUGCAGUUUCUGCUUUGCAUGCUUGUCUAAGUGUUACCUUAAUGUCAAGAGAAUAAUCUUGUACAAUGCAUAUUUUAUCUGAUUUUUGCGUAUCCAACCCAUGUGCUUUAUAUUAACCGAACUGAUUUAAAUGUCAUACUCUUGUUUUGUAUGUCAGUGGCAUGUGCAUGUAAAAUCCUUUGCAGAUAGUACAAGAACAACCAAGCCUUCUUACAGAGUGUUAGAUUGCUUGAUGCUGCUACUUCGUAUGCUUGCUUAAGUGUCACCCCAAUGUCAAGAGAAUAAUCUUGUACGAUGAAUAUUUUACAUUUUUUUUGUUCUUGGUACUGUUGUUUUUUUGCUGAUCCACUACACUUGCUUUACAUUAACCAAAAUGAUUUGAGCAAGCAUACUAUUGUUUUAUUGCCGUGGGGUGUACAAGUAAAAUCCAUUGCAGAUACAAGAAUGACUUUUGUGGAGAAACAAAAUUCCCAGCCAUAUUAGCUUUGGGAAUAGUCAUCCUGCAACAUCUUCUUUAAUUCCUCUUGUGGCCAUGAAUCCGUUGGUUAUAAAGUUUGCAAUAACAAAACAACAUCGUGUUUCUUGUAUACUGGAACAUUUUUUUCCAUUUAAGGUAGCUGUUUAUUCAAUGAGAUUUUCUAACUUUGUCCUACUCUAUUAUUUGGUUUCUUGGGGCUUAUCUCUAGAUUAUGGUGAAGCAAGGGGGAGUUGCUUAUAUCCGAGUUGUUGCCACAAGCGACUUUCAUCCUCUAUUGUAGCUUUAGCGAAUAUAGUUGAUGCAUGAUUGCAGAUGCCAAUGAUAGGUGUAUAUGUGAGAAGAGUAUGUGCGUACAUUGGUGUAUGUCUACCAAUAAUGAUUACUAAAAUUCCAAAUUGCACAUAUUGACAGUGGAACCUCCCAGUUUCCAUUUCUCUUCAAGGCUACAUUUGCAUGUAAUUUUUUUUGACAACCAAAUUGCUACAUAGACUACUUUGUUUUAGUAGUGCAGUAUUUUAUGUUCUUCCAUCAGAGGUACUUCAUUCAUUUUUUUACACCUUUGGAUAUAUGACUUCAUCUUUCUUUUAUAUAUAAAAUAGACGCCAGAUGUGUGCAUAACUACUUCCAUGAUGAGCCGAUAUUUGUCGAGCAGGUCAUGCCACGUCUUCCCACCGAGAUCCAGUGGAGACAGCUGGGCCUGUAGCUCAGAGGAUUAGAGCACGUGGCUAUGAACCACCCACGGUGUUAGGGGUUCGAAUCCCUCCUCUUGUCGGUCACCAUCGAGCUCCAAAAUAUGUGAUGAUGUAAAUUGUUUUAUGUGAGAUGUUUAAUGUGUACCGGUGAUGCAGCAUUUUGGACUGCUCUGAAAUAUAAACGGGUAGCUAAUUUUAGGUUGCUUCAAAAUAUGGGCCAUGUAAAUGGAAAGUUCUAUGUCUGAGUCGGAUGUAAGGCUGCUUGUAAUGGGUAGUAUCAUAAGUUAGUAUCAUGCAUAUGAUACUAGUAUAUGAUAUUACCUCCCUAAUGCAUAGUAUCAUAGAUACUUUAUUUAUUGUCAUGCAUGACACAGUAGUAUUGCAUUUUUGCAUUUAUUAUUAUACGAUAUCAUAAUAUGAUAUUCAACCCUCUCUUUCUUCAUUUAAUUCUAUGUCAUCUCAUCUAAAUUGCCUAGUUGGC